UGGGGAAUAUUGCGCAAUGGGGGGAACCCUGACGCAGCAAUACCGCGUGAGUGAAGAAGGUCUUCGGAUCGUAAAGCUCUGUUAUUGGGGAAGAAAAAAAGACGGUACCCAAGGAGAAAGUUCCGGCUAACUACGUGCCAGCAGCCGCGGUAAUACGUAGGGAACAAGCGUUGUCCGGAUUUACUGGGCGUAAAGGGCAUGUAGGCGGUUUUUUAAGUCAGAUGUGAAAGGUACCGGCUCAACCGGUGACAUGCAUUUGAAACUGAAGAACUUGAGUAUUGGAGAGGCAAGUGGAAUUCCUGGUGUAGCGGUGAAAUGCGUAGAGAUCAGGAGGAACACCGGUGGCGAAGGCGGCUUGCUGGACAAAUACUGACGCUGAGAUGCGAAAGCGUGGGGAGCAAACAGG
rnacentral:rRNA from 2 species